rnacentral:tRNA from 2 species
UCGCUGUUAAGUGAUUGAUUUUAAAUCUAAAUUUCGUUGACUCUUAAUCAAUAGGUCCAAGGUUCGAAUCCUUGACGGCCCACCA